UAAAUUUUACUAUUACAUUGUGUUCAUCUUAUUUGUGCAUUUUCGUUUUAUUAUAAAGGUUGGUCGUUGGGGGAUGUUUUUUUUUGUUGGUUUUUUAAAAAAAAAAACACUCCCAAUUACACCUCAGUGUUUUGCAAUUCAAGUGAAGAAGAUUUGCACUUUAAAAAUCUGGCGACUUGAGUAAUUAACAAGGCGCCUCAUUAAUCUUCAAAGUUUUGACAACAGGGCUAGUGACAAAAUUCGAACUUUCACAGGAUCAGCCAGGCAGUUGCCACGGGCCCGUAGGAAAAUUCCAAUCCCUUUAAAUAUCUGUACCAUUGGACACAAGGCACAAAGUGUCCCUUUUCCAAUUGUCGGACGGAUUUAUCAGCCAUACGCUAAUUUUUUUUUUUUUUCAAAGUGCAGAAGAGGUUUCUCAAAGCAGAUCCAAUGACUGUUCUGCCCAGACACCACGUGGUGUCUCAUUACACCGGAUGGAAACUUUUUUACCCCUUAAUUCCUGAAUGUUUCUGUAAGUCUCUGGACCUUGUUUGGGAAUAAAGAUAUUUACAAGAUGCA